rnacentral:rRNA from 1 species
AUUGAACGCUGGCGGCAUGCCUUACACAUGCAAGUCGAACGGCAGCACGGGGGAACCUGGUGGCGAGUGGCGAACGGGUGAGUAAUGCAUCGGAACGUACCUUUCAGUGGGGGAUAACGUAGCGAAAGUUACGCUAAUACCGCAUAUUCUGUGAGCAGGAAAGCAGGGGAUCGCAAGACCUUGCGCUGAUUGAGCGGCCGAUGUCAGAUUAGCUAGUUGGUGAGGUAAAGGCUCACCAAGGCGACGAUCUGUAGCGGGUCUGAGAGGAUGAUCCGCCACACUGGAACUGAGACACGGUCCAGGCUCCUACGGGAGGCAGCAGUGGGGAAUUUUGGACAAUGGGGGCAACCCUGAUCCAGCCAUGCCGCGUGAGUGAAGAAGGCCUUCGGGUUGUAAAGCUCUUUCGGCCAGGAAGAAAUCGCACGGGCUAAUACCCUGUGUGGAUGACGGUACCGGAAUAAGAAGCACCGGCUAACUACGUGCCAGCCGCCGCAGUAAGAC